AGAAUGGCAGCGGAGAAACUAUGAUCAGGAAGGUUGUGCUCCCAGGAUUAGGUGAUCCCAUUGCACUCUGGGUGUGCUGACGCCUGCGAUGUCCCAAAAUGCGGGAUACUUGACUGCAAAAUUUGUGGUCGUGGGGGGCUGCGUUCUCGCUCUCCCCAG